rnacentral:rRNA from 1 species
AUGAACAACUUGCUAACCGAUUCCUUUGAGCUUCUCCGGCGAGAUUCCUCAAGAGAUGAGGGGGAUGUUGAAAUGGGGAUACAUCAGCUAGACGCCUCUGAUAAUUUAAAAGGCUUCUUGAACAAGGUUAAUGGAAUCAAGAGCCUAAUAGCUAAGCUGACGAGUCUCUUGACUAAGCUCCAGACUGCAAAUGAGGAAUCAAAAGUAGUUACAAAAGCAAGCGCCAUGAAAGCAAUUAAGAAGCAAAUGGAGAAAGAUAUUGAUGCAGUGAUGAAAAUUGCUCGUAUGGCAAAAACAAAAAUUGAUGAACUGGAAAAAGAUAACUUAUCUAACACGGAGAAACCUGGAUGCGGGAAGGGCUCCGUGGUAGAUCAAUUAAGGGAACAGACUACUGGAGCAGUGAAAAAGAAGUUAAAGAAACGGAUGGACGAUUUUCAGGUACUGAGAGAAUCAAUCCGGCAGGAGUACCGGGAAGUUGUUGAAAGAAGGGUAUUUACUGUAACUGGUAAUCGCCCUGAUGAACAGACAAUUGAUGAUUUAAUCGAGACAGGGAGAAGCGAGCAUAUUUUCAAAGAUGCGGUUCAACAGCAGGGGAGAGGCCAGAUAUUGGAUACACUUGCUGAGAUACAAGAGCGGCAUGAUGCUGUAAGAGAUCUAGAGAGGAAGCUUCUGGAGUUGCAGCAGAUAUUCCUGGAUAUGGCAGUAUUGGUUGACGCUCAAGGAGACAUGACGGACGACAUAGUGACACAUGUUUCAAAGGCUAGCGACUACAUACAGCAAAGUUUGGAUGCUCUCCAGAAGGCAAAGAAGCUUCAGAAGAACUCGAGAAUGUGCAUGUGCUCCGCCAUAAUCGUUCUCCUGCUAAUUGUGGUUAUCGUCGUGCUGGUGGUUAUCAAGCCAGGGAAGAAGUAA